CCUACGGGGCGCAGCAGUGGGGAAUAUUGCACAAUGGGGGAAACCCUGAUGCAGCGACGCCGCGUGAGUGAUGAAGUAUUUCGGAACGUAAAGCCCUAUCAGCAGGGAAGAUAAUGACGGUAUCUGACCAAGAAGCACCGGCUAACUCCGUGCCAGCAGCCGCGGUAAUACGUCGGGCGCCAGCGUUAUUCGGAUUGACUGGGCGUAAAGGGCGCGUAGGCGGGAUCCCAAGUCUGGAGUGAAAUCCCAGGGCUUAACCACGGAACUGCUGUUGAAACUGUUCUGCUGGAGGGUGGGAGAGGUAAGCGGAAGUCUUGGGGGAGGGGUGAAAUGCGUAGAGAGUAAGAGGAACACUGGUUGCGAAGGCGACUUGCUAGAACAUAACUGACGCUGAGGCGCGAAAGCGUGGGGAGCAAACAGGAUUAGAUACCCGAGUAGUC
rnacentral:rRNA from 1 species